UUUGUGUCCAAUCAUCUCAGUACUCAAGAAUGGAAUCCAUCCAUCAACAAGAACCAAGUGAGGAAUGGCUUGAGACAAAGCGUAGUUCAGUCAGGGAUGUUGGAAUCAGGGGUGGACCGUAUCAUUACUCAGGUGGUGGACCCUAAAUUAAACCAUAUCUUCAGGCCACACAUCGAGGACGCCAUUCAUGAAUUCCUAGCCGCAGAGAAGAAAGAAGAGGGCACACUGAAUUUAGCCCCUGACGUUGAACAACAGGAAAUGACUAGCAACUCCGGAGCCAAAACGCAAUGAGGUACAAGGAUACACUUUUUGCUGUCACAUGAAGAUCACCUGAUGUCCUUCCAUGCCUGGCUACAGUGAAUGAACAGUUGCUGAGCACUGGAAUAUUGGAAGUUUGCACUAAUUAAUGGUGGUUGGAUUAUUAUUAAUUUUUUUUUUUUUUAGCAUGCUAGAUGAAAGCAGGUCGUCCAGCCCAUGCUUUUGAUGUCUGGUGUAGUUCUUUCAGCACUAAAUAGCAACUAAAUUUGAUUUGUCCAAAUAAAUCCAUCUCAAAAUAACACCUGAUAUGAAAUACUUAAUUUUUAUUUGGCUGAAGCCUGACGGAAAUGAUCCUUUUUAUACAGCUGGAUUUGUGAAAUGCUUCUCAUUUAUUUCUUUCGCUAUUCUAUUCUAAUGGGACUCAUAGCAGCGUUUUUACAAUAAAUGUAACUUUUUAAGAAAAGCCA